rnacentral:rRNA from 1 species
AGAGUUUGAUCAUGGCUCAGGAUGAACGCUGGCGGCGUGCCUAACACAUGCAAGUCGAACGGGGUAUUGUUUUUCGGAAUGAUACUUAGUGGCGGACGGGUGAGUAACGCGUGGGUAACCUGCCCCAUACAGGGGGAUAGCAGCUGGAAACGGCUGAUAAAACCGCAUAAGCGCACGGUACCGCAUGGUACAGUGUGAAAAACUCCGGUGGUAUGGGAUGGAUCCGCGUCUGAUUAGCUUGUUGGCGGGGUAACGGCCCACCAAGGCGACGAUCAGUAGCCGGCCUGAGAGGGUGACCGGCCACAUUGGGACUGAGACACGGCCCAAACUCCUACGGGAGGCAGCAGUGGGGAAUAUUGCACAAUGGGGGGAACCCUGAUGCAGCGACGCCGCGUGAAGGAAGAAGUAUUUCGGUAUGUAAACUUCUAUCAGCAGGGAAGAGAAUGACGGUACCUGCAUAAGAAGCCCCGGCUAACUACGUGUCAGCAGCCGCGGUAAUACGUAGGGGGCAAGCGUUAUCCGGAUUUACUGGGUGUAAAGGGAGCGUUGCGGCUAGGUAAGUAAGAAGUGAAAGCCCGGGGCUCAACCGCGGUACUGCUUUUGAAACUGCCAGGCUUGAUUGCACGACAUUAAGCGUAAUUCCUGGUGGAGCGGA